rnacentral:rRNA from 1 species
GACGUAGGGGGCCAGCGUUGCUCGGAAUUACUGGGCGUAAAGGGUUCGUAGGCGGUGCGGCAAGUCGGAAGUGAAAUCUCCAGGCUCAACUUGGAGGCUGCUCCCGAAACUGCCGUGCUAGAGUGCGGGAUGGGCGAGUGGAAUUGCAGGUGUAGCGGUGAAAUGCGUAGAUAUCUGCAGGAACACCCGUGGCGAAGGCGGCUCGCUGGACCGCAACUGACGCUGAGGAACGAAAGCUAGGGGAGCAAACAGG